GUAUGUGUGCAUCUCGGCCUCUCUAUGUAUUUCUUUUUUUUUUUUUUUUUUUUUUUUUUCGGAGCUGGGGACCGAACCCAGGACCUUGCGCUUGCUAGGCAAGCGCUCUACCACUGAGCUAAAUCCCCAACCCCUUCUAUGUAUUUCUUAUGUUUUUUCUUCGGCUCUUUUUUUUUUUUCUGUUGUUUUUGUCCUAUUCAGGUUUGUUCUUUGUAAUCAUAUUUUUUAUUGUUAUUAUUCAUUAUUACAUAUUUCAGUUUGUUCUCUGAGACAGUUGGGUGGUUGACAGGAUCUGGGAGAAGUUGGGAGAGGGGAAACUAAAA
rnacentral:lncRNA from 1 species